CACGUAGGGUGCGAGCGUUGUCCGGAAUUAUUGGGCGUAAAGAGCUCGUAGGCGGUCUGUCGCGUCGGCUGUGAAAACCCGGAGCUCAACUCCGGGCCUGCAGUCGAUACGGGCAGACUGGAGUUCGGCAGGGGAGACUGGAAUUCCUGGUGUAGCGGUGAAAUGCGUAGAGAUGUGGAGGAACACCAGUGGCGAAGGCGACUCUUUGGUCUGUAACUGACGCUGAGGCGCGAAAGCGUGGGGAGCAAACAGG
rnacentral:rRNA from 1 species